AUUCGCCUUCGGCCUAACACAUGCAAGUCGAGCGGUAACAGAUUGAUAGCUUGCUAUCAAUGCUGACGAGCGGCGGAGGGUGAGUAAUGCCUGGGAAUAUACCCUGAUGUGGGGGAUAACUAUUGGAAACGAUAGCUAAUACCGCAUAAUCUCUUCGGAGCAAAGAGGGGGACUUCGGGCCUCUCGCGUCAGGAUUAGCCCAGGUGGGAUUAGCUAGUUGGUGGGGUAAUGGCUCACCAAGGCGACGAUCCCUAGCUGGUCUGAGAGGAUGAUCAGCCACACUGGAACUGAGACACGGUCCAGACUCCUACGGGAGGCAGCAGUGGGGAAUAUUGCACAAUGGGGGAAACCCUGAUGCAGCCAUGCCGCGUGUAUGAAGAAGGCCUUCGGGUUGUAAAGUACUUUCAGUUGUGAGGAAGGCGUUAAAGUUAAUAGCUUUAGCGUUUGACGUUAGCAACAGAAGAAGCACCGGCUAACUCCGUGCCAGCAGCCGCGGUAAUACGGAGGGUGCGAGCGUUAAUCGGAAUUACUGGGCGUAAAGCGCAUGCAGGCGGUCUGUUAAGCAAGAUGUGAAAGCCCGGGGCUCAACCUCGGAACAGCAUUUUGAACUGGCAGACUAGAGUCUUGUAGAGGGGGGUAGAAUUUCAGGUGUAGCGGUGAAAUGCGUAGAGAUCUGAAGGAAUACCGGUGGCGAAGGCGGCCCCCUGGACAAAGACUGACGCUCAGAUGCGAAAGCGUGGGGAGCAAACAGGAUUAGAUACCCUGGUAGUCCACGCCGUAAACGAUGUCUACUUGAAGGUUGUGGCCUUGAGCCGUGGCUUUCGGAGCUAACGCGUUAAGUAGACCGCCUGGGGAGUACGGUCGCAAGAUUAAAACUCAAAUGAAUUGACGGGGGCCCGCACAAGCGGUGGAGCAUGUGGUUUAAUUCGAUGCAACGCGAAGAACCUUACCUACUCUUGACAUCCAGAGAAUUCGCUAGAGAUAGCUUAGUGCCUUCGGGAACUCUGAGACAGGUGCUGCAUGGCUGUCGUCAGCUCGUGUUGUGAAAUGUUGGGUUAAGUCCCGCAACGAGCGCAACCCUUAUCCUUGUUUGCCAGCACGUAAUGGUGGGAACUCCAGGGAGACUGCCGGUGAUAAACCGGAGAAGGUGGGGACCGACGUCAAGUCAUCAUGGCCCUUACGAGUAGGGCUACACACGUGCUACAAUKGCGUAUACAGAGGGCUGCAVUAGCGAUAGUUGAGCGAAUCCACAA
rnacentral:rRNA from 1 species